rnacentral:lncRNA from 1 species
AGGAACAGAGAGAAUGCUGAUUUGUUAUGAGAAGACAAUUUAUCUUAUUUUCAGCACAAUGUUGAUGUACAUGGAGUAGCAAAGACUUCGUUCCUUGAUUCGGAUUACGACAAGCUAGUUUGGUAUGUGCUAAAAAAUUGCGAAGAGGUUGAGCCAUAUAUCGGGCACGUAAUCCAUCAUGCAAUUAUUUCAGUCAAAUUUUCAUAUGGAUAUGUUUUUGAAGGACCGGAAAGGUGACCAUAGGGGGGUGAAUGGGAACCGAUUCAAAUUUUCUCCAAGAACUUUGGCUAAAAACCCACAAGCCUCUCUUCUAGCAAAAUCAAGUCCACUUAGCUAUGCACAAGCUAAUGGACCUACGAAUGAUGCUAGGAACCCAAUUUAAGAAUAGCGGAAGCAAGAAAGACUCCAAACAAGCUCCGGAAGACAAACUUUGAAAACCAACACCUCUGUGUGGAAAAAUCCGGAGGAAGCUUCAGAAAAUUAUGGACAUGCAGAAAUUUCCGGAGAAACCUUCGGAAAUUUCCGGAGGUCCGGAGAUUUCUGGAAUUCCAAAACAGCCUGCGCGAAGAUGGUAGAAAAAUCCAAAACGGGUCAAACGACCUCCAAAAAUCACGAAAUUUGAACCAUAGCUUCACAACAUAGUAAAGAAGCUUAUCCUAAGAAAUCAUUCCCAAAAUAUUUGCUAAUCAAGGGGAAUUUCAAAUCUUGUGAAGAACUCUAUUUUCUC